rnacentral:rRNA from 1 species
GACGAACGCUGGCGGCGUGCUUAACACAUGCAAGUCGAACGAUGAAGCCGGAGCUUGCUCCGGUGGAUUAGUGGCGAACGGGUGAGUAACACGUGAGCAAUCUGCCCUUGACUCUGGGAUAACUGCGGGAAACUGUAGCUAAUACCGGAUACGACACCUUGGGGCAUCCCAGGGUGUGGAAAGAAUUUCGGUCAAGGAUGAGCUCGCGGCCUAUCAGCUAGUUGGUGAGGUAAUGGCUCACCAAGGCGACGACGGGUAGCCGGCCUGAGAGGGUGACCGGCCACACUGGUACUGAGACACGGUCCAGACUCCUACGGGAGGCAGCAGUGGGGAAUAUUGCACAAUGGGCGAAAGCCUGAUGCAGCAACGCCGCGUGAGGGAUGAAGGCCUUCGGGUUGUAAACCUCUUUUAACAGGGAAGAAGCGAAAGUGACGGUACCUGCAGAAAAAGCACCGGCUAACUACGUGCCAGCAGCCGCGGUAA